rnacentral:rRNA from 1 species
GGGGCAACCCUGAUCCAGCCAUGCCGCGUGAGUGAAGAAGGCCUUCGGGUUGUAAAGCUCUUUCGGCCGGGAAGAAAUCGUACAGGUUAAUACCCUGUGCGGAUGACGGUACCGGCAUAAGAAGCACCGGCUAGCUACGUGCCAGCAGCCGCGGUAAUACGUAGGGUGCGAGCGUUAAUCGGAAUUACUGGGCGUAAAGCGUGCGCAGGCGGUUUUGUAAGACAGGCGUGAAAUCCCCGGGCUCAACCUGGGAACUGCGCUUGUGACUGCAAGGCUAGAGUAUGGCAGAGGGGGGUGGAAUUCCACGUGUAGCAGUGAAAUGCGUAGAGAUGUGGAGGAACACCAAUGGCGAAGGCAGCCCCCUGGGCCAAUACUGACGCUCAUGCACGAAAGCGUGGGUAGCAAACAGGAUUAGAUACCCUGGUAGUCCACGCCCUAAACGAUGUCAACUAGGUGUUGGGUGGGUAAAACCAUUUAGUACCGGAGCUAACGCGUGAAGUUGACCGCCUGGGGAGUACGGCCGCAAGGUUAAAACUCAAAGGAAUUGACGG